GUGAAUCAUCGAAUCUUUGAACGCAAAUUGCGCUUUCUGGUAUUCCGGAGAGUAUGCCUGUUUGAGGAUCGGUUAAUUACAAGUCGCUGAUGUUUUUGCUUUUCGUGGUGACUCGUCGUGUUUUAGUUAUCUUACCUUCUUUUAAGUGACUUCAAAUUUUGCAUGAUUUUCGAACGUAUUUAACUUUCUUCCGUACUUUUGAGAUAUCGAAUACAUUAUUCGGU
rnacentral:misc_RNA from 1 species